rnacentral:rRNA from 1 species
GAUGAACGCUGGCGGCGUGCCUAAUACAUGCAAGUCGAGCGAAUGGAUUAAGAGCUUGCUCUUAUGAAGUUAGCGGCGGACGGGUGAGUAACACGUGGGUAACCUGCCCAUAAGACUGGGAUAACUCCGGGAAACCGGGGCUAAUACCGGAUAACAUUUUGAGCCGCAUGGUUCGAAAUUGAAAGGCGGCUUCGGCUGUCACUUAUGGAUGGACCCGCGUCGCAUUAGCUAGUUGGUGAGGUAACGGCUCACCAAGGCAACGAUGCGUAGCCGACCUGAGAGGGUGAUCGGCCACACUGGGACUGAGACACGGCCCAGACUCCUACGGGAGGCAGCAGUAGGGAAUCUUCCGCAAUGGACGAAAGUCUGACGGAGCAACGCCGCGUGAGUGAUGAAGGCUUUCGGGUCGUAAAACUCUGUUGUUAGGGAAGAACAAGUGCUAGUUGAAUAAGCUGGCACCUCGACAGUACCUAACCAGAAAGCCACGGCUAACUACGUGCCAGCCGCCGCAGUAA